rnacentral:rRNA from 1 species
AUACGGAGGGGGCUAGCGUUGUUCGGAAUUACUGGGCGUAAAGCGCGCGUAGGCGGCUUAUCAAGUUAGGCGUGAAAGGCCUGGGCUCAACCCGGGAACUGCGCUUAAUACUGGUAGACUUGAGUCCGGGAGAGGGUGGCGGAAUUCCCAGUGUAGAGGUGAAAUUCGUAGAUAUUGGGAAGAACACCAGUGGCGAAGGCGGCUCACUGGCUCGGUACUGACGCUGAGGUGCGAAAGCGUGGGGAGCAAUCAGGAUUAGAUACCCCGGUAGUCC